CUUAUCAUUCUCACUGUCGCUUUUUCUCUAAACCCUAAAUGAACCAAAUGCCGCAUCUUUUUUAGAGAAAUCAAUUGAAACAGAGCCAAAUACGAUGUCACAUUCUACUCAUUCUUUGUUCUUCGUCUUCUCCGAUUGAAGAUUAUGUUCUGAUGUAAUCGUCGCUCUUCUUCAUCAUCAAUCGCAAUAGCGACAAAAGUUUUAAUCGGUUCACGGCUAGGCUCUCUCAUCAUGAUUUUUUAUUGUUCCAUUGGACUUUAAUAUAUAUGCUGGAGAUUCUGAUGAAGAUAUUGACCAACAAGUUAUCAAAAUCAAGGUUUUUUUGUGAAAUGGAAGAUCAUGUAGAACAACAACUUAUCAACAAACAGAACUGAAACUAUUACCCACCAGAGUCACGAGUCGAUCUUUUUGCCAAGAGACGGUCAAACAAGGCACUCCAAAUAUUACUGAUUGUGUGAUGGCUGAACUCGAGAAGCUUGGACAGGAAUAUCGUGUUGCUUUGAGGCAA